AGUUGUAAUCUAUAGAAGUGUUUUCCGUGCUGGCUCAUGUACAAGUCCCUUGGAACAGGGCGUCAUAGAGGGUGAGAAUCCCGUACUUGACAUGAAUCACCAGUGCUCUGUGAUACACUUUCAAAGAGUCGAGUUGUUUGGGAAUGCAGCUCAAAAUGGGUGGUAAAUUCCAUCUAAAGCUAAAUAUUGGCGAGAGACCGAUAGCGAACAAGUACCGUGAGGGAAAGAUGAAAAGCACUUUGGAAAGAGAGUUAAACAGUAUGUGAAAUUGUUAAAAGGGAAACGAUUGAAGUCAAUCAUGUCCUUGGGUCUUACCACCCUUGGAUGGGGUCAACAUCAGUUUUGAUCGGUGGAUAAGGAUAGGAGGAAGGUAGCACUCUCGGGUGAACUUAUAGCCUCCUGUCGCAUACACUGGUUGAGACUGAGGUCUGCUAUUACAGGAUGUUGACAUAAUGGCUUUAAACGACCCGUCUUGAA
rnacentral:rRNA from 1 species